GAAGGGGGCUAGCGUUGCUCGGAAUCACUGGGCGUAAAGGGUGCGUAGGCGGGUCUUUAAGUCAGGGGUGAAAUCCUGGAGCUCAACUCCAGAACUGCCUUUGAUACUGAAGAUCUUGAGUUCGGGAGAGGUGAGUGGAACUGCGAGUGUAGAGGUGAAAUUCGUAGAUAUUCGCAAGAACACCAGUGGCGAAGGCGGCUCACUGGCCCGAUACUGACGCUGAGGCACGAAAGCGUGGGGGAGCAAACAGGAUUAGAUACCCUGGUAGUCCACGCCGUAAACGAUGAAUGCCCAGCCGUUAGUGGGUUUACUCACUAGUGGCGCAGCUAACGCUUUAAGCAUUCCGCCUGGGAGUACGGUCGCAAGGUUA
rnacentral:rRNA from 1 species